UUAUAGCGUGGGUCAGAGACGCCAUUUAAGAGAAACGCGACGUAGAUGGGGCAUCGUAGAUUUCCACUUGUAGCAUAGCAACCAUAAAGAUCAACACUGUUUACUACCAACAAAGGUCGUACAGUAGCCCAAGUUAGAAAGUCGACUAAUAAUAUAACAAGAACAUUGGGAUGGACGAGGAGUCUGCACCGACAACCUUCAGCUGUGCUGAUUUGGAUCUGCAUUUGUCUCAAGAAUCGAUGAAACAGUUGUGGGAAGAACUGGAACAACUGUCUCCAAAUGGGUCUUUUACGGCAGUUGUUGACCAAAUCGCCAAGGGAAACGAGGACCCUGGAAAUGAAGCACUUGCUGAAAUGAAUAAAUUUAUUUUGGAACAUUACAGCUAUAUGCCACAAGUAGGAAAUACGGUAAGUUUUGUCUU